rnacentral:rRNA from 1 species
GGUGAACUGUGGGCGGGCUGCUACUGUAAUACGAAGGAUCCAUGCGUUAUCCGUAGUUAUUGGGUUUAAAGGGUGCGUAGGCGGCUUAGUAAGGCAGAGGUGAAAGCCUGGAGCUUAACUCCAGAACUGCCUUUGAUACUGAUGAGCUUGAAUAUAGUUGAGGUAGGCGGAAUGUGUCAUGUAGCGGUGAAAUGCUUAGAUAUGACACAGAACACCGAUUGCGAAGGCAGCUUGCUAAACUAUAAUUGACGCUGAGGCACUAAAGCGUGGGGAUCAAACAGGAUUAGAUACCCCGUAGUC